AACAUCGCGCACCUGCGGGAACCUGCGGAAGGAUCAUUACAGAGUUGCAAAACUCCCAAAACCCACUGUGAAUCUACCUGUUUAGUUGCUUCGGCGGGCAGCCCCAGGGCGGGGCCGCGCCCGGGAGAGUCCCGGGUGUCCGCCGGAGGUUUUCAAACUCGAAUUCUUUUAGCAAUCUGAGCUUUUAAAACAAAUAAGUCAAAACUUUUAACAACGGAUCU
rnacentral:misc_RNA from 1 species